AGAUUCCUCAUUAGCUAGAUGGAUUAAAAUUGGUAUCGUGGCUGAUGCCUAUCCUGACUAAUACGUUCUCCUGAGAACAUUUUUUCUGAGUGACUCCAGCUUCCAGACACAUUUGCCAUGAGAAGGGUUCCAAUCCUUUCCUGUAUUUGCCCUGAGUCAUGAAUGGAUAUGUGUGAUGCCUGCAAGUAAAACUGGUAUGCCCGGCCCCGUGCGACCGCCUGGGGAGCGAUACGAGGAACAAAACCUCAGCUCUACAUUUGCUUUUCCUCCUUUGCUCUGCGGCGCCCAGGUUUUGAUGUGUUGCUUCUCAGAAGGCUUGACGGCGGUAAUAACGGAAACAGCAAAAAAUGUCAGCUUGACUACUGUCUGCGUGUCGGCACUAGUCCAGGGAGUUUCAAAGGGAUGUUUUAUUGAUUCUGUAAUUGCACAGUAGAAUGGACAAACUGAACUGUACCUCAGGGCAAGGAAAGCCCCUGUCUGAACGGCAUCUGUUGGAUGUGUGCGCUGCUGUAAUUUGGGCAGGGCGGUUUGAACCAGGGGACUGAAAGCUUGGCUUAACCCUUUCACUGGAGGCACUGGGGGCUCCAGUUGUGCCUUCUGAUGGCAGCCUGGGAAAAAGAGCUGAUUUGGGGAUCCCUUCUAGCACCAAAGUGACAAUUCGGGGCUCUGCUGGGAUUUAGACCAGCAUUGCUUUUAAAAGGAAAUUGGCACAUGAUCUUUUCCCUGGCGUUACUCUCCAGCUAUUCCCCUCCUCUGGGAUCCUGAGCCCACAGAAUUGUAACUUGCAGUGUUGCCUCACUUGCAAAAUCCACUUCUUAACUGAAAAACUGGUCUUAAUCUCUGAUGAAAUACAUCUGCGUUAUAGUGCUCCUGCCUGGGAGCUGGUAACUUCCUCUAGCACAAGCUGAUUACUUUCCAAAACUGAAGGAGUGGACUGAGCUGUUUUACUAAAACAAUUGCAAAUUAAAUUUGUAAACUUUUGCUGUUGCCAUAUUUUUUCACUGGCAUGCUGUCUGCGUGCUGUGUCUUUAAUUUGGUGAGAACACGAAUCAAUUAGGCUAACCUACAGCAAUGCAGAAACUGAGGGGAAAAAAUUAAAAUGCACUCUCUUGACUUGAUACGUGGGUGCCCAGGGUUUCUGUUCCAAUUAUUCUCUAUUAUUUCUGUUAGCCAACUAGAGCUGGGCAUCCUGCAAAGAGCAGUGCUUCAUCCCCAGGGCAGAGCCCACAAAACCCAGGGGUAGAAGAGCAGUGCAGGAGGAAGCAGAGUCCAGUCAGCAUCACUGAGGAGGACUGUAAGUUUAAUUGGGUUUCACAGUUUCAGGAUAAAAAGAGAAAAAAUC
rnacentral:lncRNA from 1 species